GAUGCUUUGGAGACAUUUAAUAAAGCUUGAAUGAUAAAGAGAAUAUUACUUGGGCCCUGCUCAAGGAUGACUUGCACAGGAAUUUAACAAAUAAUAUUUUC
rnacentral:snRNA from 1 species